UAGGGAAUAUUGGACAAUGGGCGCAAGCCUGAUCCAGCAAUGCCGCGUGUGUGAUGAAGGCCUGCGGGUUGUAAAGCACUUUCGGUGGGGAAGAAAUACUCAAAGUUAAUAGCUUUGAGGGUUGACGUUACCCACAGAAGAAGCACCGGCUAACUCUGCGCCAGCAGCCGCGGUAAUACGUAGGGGGCGAGCGUUAUUCGGAAUUACUGGGUGUAAAGGGUAUGUAGGCGGCCCUUCAAGUCGCGUGUCAAAGUCCAGUGCUCAACGCUGGGUGUGCACGCGAUACUGACGGGCUUGAGGGCUGGAGAGGUGAGCGGAAUUCCCGGUGUAGUGGUAAAAUACGUAGAGAUCGGGAGGAACACCAGCGGCGCAGGCGGCUCACUAGACAGUUUCUGACGCUAAGAUACGAAAGCGUGGGGAGCAAACA
rnacentral:rRNA from 1 species